GGACGCAUAGUUCAGUUGGUUAGAAUGCCUCGUUUACACCGAGGAGGUCCUAGGUUCGAAUCCUAGUGCGUCCA
rnacentral:tRNA from 1 species